AAGUCGUAACAAGGUUUCCGUAGGUGAACCUGCGGAAGGAUCACUAGUGAUUAAACGGGAAGCGUCUUAACUGACCUUCUCACCCUUCACAUCCACAUACACCCUGUGAACUGUUUGGCUUCAACUCUCGAGUUGGGCUCUCCUAUCGAUAGAUUAGCAAUAGUCUAGCGAGAAGAGGGUUCGUCUCGAGAGCGGGAGUCAUCAUUUUUAUACAUACACAAAGUCUAAUGAAUGCAAACGUUUUAUAUAAACAAAAUAAAA
rnacentral:misc_RNA from 1 species